GGCGGCGUGGAUAAGACAUGCAAGUCGAACGAGACAACUAAAUAGCUUGCUAAUUGGUUUUCUAGUGGCGGACGGGUUAGUAACACGUGAGCAACCUGCCUCGAAGUGGGGGAUAGCCUUCCGAAAGGAAGAUUAAUACCGCAUGUGGCCUACGGGUCAAAGAUGCCUUCGGGUGUCGCUUUGAGAUGGGCUCGCGGCCUAUCAGCUAGUUGGUGAGGUAAUGGCUCACCAAGGCAACGACGGGUAGCUGGUCUGAGAGGACCAUCAGCAACACUGGAACUGAGACACGGUCCAGACACCUACGGGUGGCAGCAGUCGAGAAUCAUUCACAAUGGGGGAAACCCUGAUGGUGCAACGCCGCGUGGAGGAUGAAGGCCCUAGGGUCGUAAACUCCUGUCAUAUGAGAGUAAGGCAUAUGUGAUAAUACCAUGUAUGUUUGAUAGUAUCAUAAGAGGAAGGGACGGCUAACUUCGUGCCAGCAGCCGCGGUAAUACGAAGGUCCCGAGCGUUAUUCGGAAUCACUGGGCGUAAAGAGUACGUAGGCGGUUUGGUAAGUCAGGUGUGAAAUCCCGGGGCUCAACCCCGGAACUGCAUCCGAUACUGCUAGACUUGAGUAAUGGAGGGGCAGGUGGAAUUCUCGGUGUAGCAGUGAAAUGCGUGGAAUAUCGAGAGGAAGACCAAUGGCGAAGGCAGCCUGCUGGACAUUUACUGACGCUGAGGUACGAAGGCCAGGGUAGCGAAAGGGAUUAGAUACCCCUGUAGUCCUGGCAGUAAACGGUGCG
rnacentral:rRNA from 1 species